rnacentral:rRNA from 1 species
UACGGGGGGGGCAAGCGUUGUUCGGAAUUACUGGGCGUAAAGGCUCGUAGGCGGCCAACUAAGUCAGACGUGAAAUCCCUCGGCUUAACCGGGGAACUGCCUCCGAUACUGGUCGUCUCGAGGGGGAUAGGGGCAGUGCGGAACUUCCGGUGGAGCGGUGAAAUGCGUAGAUAUCGGAAGGAACGCCGGUGGCGAAAGCGGCGUGCUGGACCCCUUCUGACGCUGAGGCGCGAAAGCCAGGGAGCAAACGGG